UGGGGUGGUACCUGACUCGGAUUUCAUCUGAUCCCCUCGCUACCAUAAAAAAGGCUCGACCCCCCAAACCCCGAGCGAUCACAAGUUACGGUGCUCGAAAGUGCCACACUAGCAGCCGAAGCUUCCAAUCUCGCCUAAUUCACCAGAACACCAUCCGCUCGAGUUCCAGUCGAGACCGUCUGCUCGAGUUCCAGUCGAGGUUCCAAUCUCGACUACUUCGUCGAACGCCGUCCACUCAACUCCAACUGAGGUACCAAUUUUCAAUCAUUGGUUUAGGUGUUUCUACAUGAAUCCCCUGUGUGGUCUCGAUCACCACCACCUGCGUAACGGCUUCAAACACAAAUCACUGUUGCAAGAAAUUUGGAAAAUUGAGUUAGCCUCAUCGGAUCUGUGAUAUGUCUGCAGGUUUCCUAAUUAAUUAGUCUUCUUAAUGCUUCUUUGCCCUUUAAACCUUUCAGAUUGUAUUUGUUUUCUGUAUUUUGUAUUGUUUCUUAAUGUACAGAAGCAUGAUCUGCUACCUCGUCAGGCAUAGCCACGAGGGAGCGCACCUGUCUUUCCUGGUCAGGUGGCACGGCAGGAUAGCAAUGGAGACACAGGCUUGACACUCUGACGGCCACCACUAGGAAGGCUUCCAGCACUUCGAUCGUUGCGUGCUCCGCCGCAACGGUGAAGGCAGCAAGGCAGAGGCAGAGAUGGCGACGGCGGGGGUCAAAGGAUGAGGAGACCUAGAGACGAGUGUGGAGGCUGUGGCUGAGAGGCUAGGGGAAUUAGUGUUGAGAGGCCAUACGCCUGUGUGUUGCAGAUCAAGCAGUAGAUAUGGUUAAAUUCAGAUUGCUAUUUAAACGCAGCAGACGCGAAUGGCAUCGUCUUUUGUCAAAAUUAGAGUAUUUACCACUUCCAUCAAAAAGUUUAGAGUCUGACGGCAUGCAUCUCAAGUACAAAUUAUUGGCAUGAUGAGCACCCACAAUAAUCUGCAGGGAAUAUGUACAGGAGAACGAAACAAAAAAGACAUGGAACUGGAAGAUGCUGCCCCAUCGGAUCUUGGUAUAGGUCCCGCAAAAAAGACAUUGCCAGCUCGCGACUGGAUAUGACCGCGGCUCCUGGGCAAUGCUGGAUUGCGACUGGAGACGGGUCUUGGCUCAGCAGCUUGGCUGCACGAAUGAUUCAGCACAAGAUCUACCAGCAAACUUUACUUCGAUGGCAGUACACUAUGGCAUGAAUGCAUAUUGGCAAAUGCAUGCUGCAUCUGUUACUCUUGUGCUAAUUCAGGAACACAAUCAAGGCAAGUACUCCAAUAAGAUGAGAGGAAUACGAUGGAUUGAUGGAUUGCCCAGUUGAACAACUCCAAAAUAAAUCUUUUAGCUAAGUAGUCUUGGAGUAGCUUAUUCCCAGUUUUUCAUAAAUCUCAUUUGUUUCUUGUCACAUAUAAACUGAAAUACAAGAAAAUUGCCCCGUUGUUAAAUUUUUGGA